UUGUAUUAUAUCCUCAUUCGAUAAAUUGUACUCUCACUCAUGUAAAUGUCUAAUAAGUUUACCAUUUUCCUUUAUUAUUAUUGUAUUAGUUAAUUGUUAACUCAAGAUUAAAAUCAACACUUUAAAAAAGAAUAAAAAAAACAAAACAAAUACUCAAUCCGACGUUGAACAAUUUUCCCAAAUCAUAACAAUUUACAUUAUCCAUUUCUCCAUCAUUUUCAAAAACCUUCAAA
rnacentral:lncRNA from 1 species